UGUGAACACCCACCUUCUGCUCUGGACAGGUCUCCUAACAAGAAGUCAUGCCGGUACCCUCUCGCACAUGGAUUUGAGCAGACUGGCUAACCACUUCAACCCAAAGCAUCCUGGGUUGGUGAUAAAGUGGUAAGAAUGGUGACAUUGUGCAACUCAUUGAACAGUCAGACCCAACAUCCAGAAUGAGGCAGUUCCCAGUGGUCUCCAGCUUGGUUCCCUUCAAGCUGGACG
rnacentral:lncRNA from 1 species